GUGAAGGUUUAUGGCAAGGAGAGGAGAAGUGGUCGUUCGGGUUCUGCGAGAAUGACAAGUGCAGGUAACUUGGAAAUUCCGGAUUUCGGUCUUCAUAUUUACAUUCGAGAGGAAAAGAAGUGUUGCACGGUCAUAUUUUAUUUCAGAGUUAAUAUUCCAUAAUUGUAUGAUGAACUGAACCUGAACAUUGAAAGUGGCACUUGCAAUACACUAAUUUUCAGUUUUGCUUGAUACUUUAUGAAAGAAUAUGUUGGCGGACAUGGCAAUACAGUUUCAUGUCGACAACCACUCCAACUGGAGUAUCCGUGGAAGUAAGAAUAUAGUAAACUGUCUGGGCCUCUGGUUGUAGUUAGUGUCAUCUAUAAUAUGCUUACGCUUCAUAUAUCAACUAAUUAAAUGUUGCACUGUUGAUCUAAAAAAAAGUAGCACUGUAUGUAAGUAUUGCAGGUUCAUGUACACUAUUGCUUGAUAAAUUGGUGGCAAAUAGCUGUGUGAGCUUCAUUUGGUCAGGUAUUUUUUUGAUAUCCUACUUUCAUCUGGUAUAACUGCAUGGGAUGUAAUUGGUUACUGCAUUUUGCAUGACAUACUUUAUUACUGUAUAUAUUACUUGUAUUUUUUUUCCUUAUUGCUUCUGUGCUAUUGAUUCCGGCACAGCAAAUUUUAUUUUGUUCUCUGGCGCAAAACCUUAACUUGACCUCUUGAUUUAUCAAGCUAUCCAGCUACUGUCUUAUAUAUUAUCACACAAGAUUUCAUCAGACCCCGAUGGUUUUAGUUUGUCAUGAUGGUUGGCGAAGUAGCUUCUGACCAAGCUAUACUAUGAUGAGAGUAAAGUCAACAUUUUUGUUGUUGCAAGGAUCACAGAGAAAGGAAUCACUAUUCAAUAGACAGUAGAUUGAUCUUUUGUAGCAUCUUUCUUAUAAAUUAGUUUGGUUCAUAAUCAGUUCCUCUUUCCAGGUUCUUUCGACUGCAUGAUACAUGAGACAUGGAUUCCUAAGGAUUGUUCAAGUGCGUUCAGUGUUAACGGAUGGAAUACAGAAUAGCCUUGACCACAAUGAGCAGAAGAAGUACAAUAUGGGCGACUGCAGGUACCUCCCCAGGGACACAGCUACUACCGUCACUGUUGAAAGAAUAACAGUUGUGCUGGAAGGUCCUUCUUGCUUGCUGUGUCUGCCUUCUCAUCUUAUUUAUGAUCGUUUAUGUGAAGAAGCAACAGCAACUUGAUUUGUUUUCUUGUGUAGUAAUAUGUGAGUUGCAUUUGCAGACAUAUAUGGGUCAAGUCACUCUCUGUUAGUUAGAUGUUAUUAGUGUUUUUCUAUCAGACAUGGUUCUGCAAUGGGCUUGACUGCCUAAGUCUCACUCAGAUUUUAGACUUGAUUAAUAACUGCUUCCUUCCAUUAAGAUGUGAGGUCCUGAUCCCAAUGACAGAGCAUCAUCGCUGAACUAAUGUUCAUGAGAGUUCACUGUUUGAUUUUGUUGAACCAUGCAAGUUCAAAAUUUGAUGAAGCCAUGCAACUGGUAGAUGCUUCAACAAGGCAUAUAUUUGCAGUGUUCGGUAAGUACCGUGUUCCUUCUGUACUCGAUAAAUUAGUGUUGUAUUUGCCUGGUAUGAGGAAGAUAGUGCAAUGCCGACAGAUAGAGUUGUAUUUGCCGGGUAUUAGUUUACAAGUGUUGUGUCGAAAGCAGGCUGAGGAGAACACAGAUGCACGGCCAGCUGCGCGGAUUAGGCGAUGGAACCAAUAACAGGAGAAAGGACGGAAAAUAGGAAGGAGAUGGUGAGAUUGGCAUUGGGCAGUCGUUUGCAAAUGUUUCAUGGUCGGAUUAGGCCCAGCUAAUCAAUUCUUUUUGGGCAGCACUAGAGAAUUGAUGAAUGCAUGCUGUACAAUUUUCUAUGAUCUUCUCUGAUUUACUAACAAAUGUGAAAUGUUGAUCAACUAAUAUUUGAGAUGUAAAUUGAUAUUCAAUUGUAGAAAU
rnacentral:rRNA from 1 species